rnacentral:rRNA from 1 species
GACAGAGGGUGCAAACGUUGUUCGGAAUUACUGGGCGUAAAGGGCGCGUAGGCGGCCUUCUAAGUCGAACGUGAAAUCCCCGGGCUCAACCCGGGAACUGCGUCCGAUACUGGGAGGCUUGAAUCCGGGAGAGGGGUGUGGAAUUCCAGGUGUAGCGGUGAAAUGCGUAGAUAUCUGGAGGAACACCGGUGGCGAAGGCGGCAUCCUGGACCGGUAUUGACGCUGAGGCGCGAAAGCCAGGGGAGCAAACGGG